CCCAACACUCCCUCCUUCCCUCCCUCAUUUCUCUCCUCUCCACCCACCCAACCCUAAAUUCAAUUAAUUCUCCCAACUCCCACUUCGAUGGCCAUCGUCCCCUCCUCUACCUCUAGUUCCCACUUUAAUUAAUUCUCGCUUUCAAUUAUUCUUCUCUACACGAAGACACCCAAAUCUUGCAGGAAGUUCAGAAUCAAAUCUCCGCUAAGAACAAGUGGAUUUGCAGGACGUCAGGGUCUCCAAGCUAGAUAUGGGUAGGGGUUCGAUUCGGGAGUGCCUAACGAUAUGAAUUCUGGGUUGGAUUCGGGAAGAUCCACGUCGGUGUUGGAUUUCGAGCGAAGGGUUGGAGGCCUCGACCGAAUCCAGAGGAGGAAGGUAAAGAUAUGCUGCCUUGGGCUUGGCAUGUUGGAGGAUUGGGCUCCAUGAAUAACUUAUGCGGCGACAUCUCUUGGCUGAGGUUGGGUUUUGGGGUGUGGAGGAUGGGGUUAGGUUUUUGGAUGAGGAUGAUGAGGGUUUGGAGCAGGAGGUUGUUGGGGAUUUGCAAUUAAGGGUGGGCAAAUUGGCCCUAGCCCUGUGGGGCGAGCCGGUUCCAUGUGGUUCGAGGCGGGUCUGAAAUUUGUAAAGACAAAAUGGGGCGGGCCGGGGCAAGGAUCUCAAAAUUAUAGGAGCGGGGCGGGUGCAAAGGCUUGAGAAAACGAGGGCCCGUUGGACCCGUUUCUCCCAAUUCUCACAAAAAUAUAUGUUGUGGCCCCGUGUACCUUUGUACUACAUUGUUUUCUUGAGUGGUAGUACAAUUAUACUUCAUUGUUUUCUUUCUUUAUUUCAUUUUUUUUAAUUUUAUUUUUUAGCUGGGGCCUCGUGUACAUCAGUCUCCAUCAUAACUCUCUCUCACUUCUUCCUCACCUUCUCACUAGAAAGAAAUCAAACUUGAAUCUCAUCAGUCACUUCUCUCACCAUUUGGCACCAUUGUUUCGAGACCAUCGUUGUCACUGUCAACAACCAUGUCGUCGUUGUCGAAGAAGAUCACCCUCAAGAGCUCGAAUGGCGAGUCGUUCAAGGUUGAGGAGGUGGUGGCGUUGGAAUCGCAGACCAUCAAGCACAUGAUCGAGGACGAUUGCGCCGACAACGGCAUGUCGACGCCGCCAAUCUCGAUGAGAAGAUCUCCGAGUACGAUCUCAAGGCCUGGGAUCAGAAGUUGGUUUGAUUCUAGGGUUUCAGAAUUUGGGGAUUCGGUUGGGUUAAGGUUUUUUUGAUUUGGGAAUUGGGGUCAAUUGUGUUGUUUUAGGGCCUAGAGUUAUUAAUUUAGGGGUUUUCUAUGAUGGUGGAUUGAAUGGCGAGCAGCCAGCGUCAUCUUACUCAAAAGUUGACAAGCAAGGGAAAUCGGACGGAAAAAGGGUUUGGGUGGGGGGAAAAAAAUAGAGGGUCUAGUUCCAGUGAUCAGAUUUGCAAUACCCGGCCUGGCCCAUGCCCACCCCUAUUUGCAAUGGUGAAGACAGAAGUUCGAAAUGGGGAUGGG